rnacentral:rRNA from 1 species
GAUGUGCCCAGAUGGGAUUAGCUAGUAGGUGGGGUAACGGCUCACCUAGGCGACGAUCCCUAGCUGGUCUGAGAGGAUGACCAGCCACACUGGAACUGAGACACGGUCCAGACUCCUACGGGAGGCAGCAGUGGGGAAUAUUGCACAAUGGGCGCAAGCCUGAUGCAGCCAUGCCGCGUGUAUGAAGAAGGCCUUCGGGUUGUAAAGUACUUUCAGCGGGGAGGAA